AACUAAAUUAAAAACUUUUUGUUUUAUUAUUUUUGAAAAAUUUCCUAACAUCUGUAAUUAUGCAGCUGGCUGUAAUCGCAUUCGAUAAUUGAUUAUUAUUAUUAUGGCUAAUUGACUGUAUACUUUUAGAUUCUGUAUUGGUUUUACAGUGAUGUUUAUUUUGUUUUUCUGUGAACAACUUUUCUACUAGAAAUUUUGCUCCGAUUUUCAAGUGUAGCACUUUUACUGAAAGGAAAUCUGUCUACGGUGGUACUUUAGGGCUGUCAUUUUUUGAUAUUCUCAGGGGUUUUCAAAUUAAAAGG